UACGGGGGGUGCGAGCGUUAUUCGGAAUUAUUGGGCGUAAAGGGCGCGCAGGCGGUUGAAUAAGUCAGGUGUGAAAGCCCUUGGCUUAACCAAGGAAGUGCAUUUGAUACUAUUUGACUUGAGUAUGGGAGAGGGAAGUGGAAUUCCUGGUGUAGAGGUGAAAUUCGUAGAUAUCAGGAGGAACACCGGUGGCGAAAGCGCCUUCCUGGACCAAUACUGACGCUGAGGCGCGAAGGCGUGGGGAGCAAACAGG
rnacentral:rRNA from 1 species